CCCCGCGGCCUAUCAGCUUNUUGGUGGGGUAAUGGCCUACCAAGCGACGACGGNUACCCGGCCUGAGANNGCGACCGGCCACACUGGGACUGAGACACGGCCCAGACUCCUACGGGAGGCAGCAGUGGGGAAUAUUGCACAAUGGGCGAAAGCCUGAUGCAGCGACGCCGCGUGAGGGAUGANNGCCUUCGGGUUGUAAACCUCUUUCGACAGGGACGAAGCGCAAGUGACGGUACCUGUAGAAGAAGCACCGGCCAACUACGUGCCAGCAGCCGCGGUAAUACGUAGGGUGCGAGCGUUGUCCGGAAUUACUGGGCGUAAAGAGCUUGUAGGCGGUUUGUCGCGUCGUCCGUGAAAACUUGGGGCUCAACCCCAAGCUUGCGGGCGAUACGGGCAGACUUGAGUACUGCAGGGGAGACUGGAAUUCCUGGUGUAGCGGUGAAAUGCGCAGAUAUCAGGAGGAACACCGGUGGCGAAGGCGGGUCUCUGGGCAGUAACUGACGCUGAGAAGCGAAAGCGUGGGUAGCGAACAGGAUUAGAUACCCUGGUAGUCCACGCCGUAAACGGUGGGCGCUAGGUGUGGGUUUCCUUCCACGGGAUCCGUGCCGUAGCUAACGCAUUAAGCGCCCCGCCUGGGGAGUACGGCCGCAAGGCUAAAACUCAAAGGAAUUGACGGGGGCCCGCACAAGCGGCGGAGCAUGUGGAUUAAUUCGAUGCAACGCGAAGAACCUUACCUGGGUUUGACAUACACCGGAAACCUGCAGAGAUGUAGGCCCCCUUGCUGGUCGGUGUAGCAGGAUGGUGCAUGAGCUGCUCGUCAGCUUCGUGUCGUUGAGAUGUUGGGUUAAGUCCCGCAACGAGCGCAACCCUUGUCCUGUGUUGCCAGCGCGUUAUGGCGGGGACUCGCAGGAGACUGCCGGGGUCAACUCGGAGGAAGGUGGGGACGACGUCAAGUCAUCAUGCCCCUUAUGUCCAGGGCUUCACACAUGCUACAAUGGCCGNUACAGAGGGCUGCGAUACCGUGAGGUGGAGCGAAUCCCUUAAAGCCGGUCUCAGUUCGGAUCGGGGUCUGCAACUCGACCCCGU
rnacentral:rRNA from 1 species